AGUAUGAGAGCCAGGCUAUAUAGGACCAGGGAGGUCUUGGAGCAGCUGUAGCUUCUUUGAUGGCCCUGAAACCCACCUGCUGAAGGCAGAGUCUUCCUGCCCAAGUCACUGCAGGUGACCAGCAGAGCCUGGAGGAGCUGGCUCUUGUUACUCCAGGCUGUCGAGUUUUGCAGGACAAACUGAAGGGAAUCCCCAGGAAGACCUUCCUAAAUGUGUAAUUCCAUAUACUGUGCCCCCUUCCCAUCCUCCAACACUGUCUCCAUAGCUCCUCUCCCUAGAUCUAGUUUGCUCAUUGACCAAAUCAGUCUUCCUCCCUGUGGACCACCGGGCCAGAGUUCCCAAGCAGGUCUUAACCUUAGCAGGGGAUUCACCACUAGUACUAGAGAUGGUUCUGGGAAGAACCCUAAUAGGGAUGUAGAGAUAAGCUGAGAAAUUGUGGGGCCUCCUCCUGCACCUCUGGUUCUCAGGAAGCUGCUCUGCUGCUCUCAGGGUUCUCCCUGCUCUGCCUUCCCCUCCUUGCUCCCCGCACAACUUAGUCCCACGGUUGUUAUAAAUGGGGUUCUCCCCCAGGGCCCCUAAGAAUCCUCCAACUCCUACCCUCAGGCCCUCUCAUUAUAUCUAAUUAUUUUUUCCUUUGUCAAGCUUUGUGUUUAAUUAGAACCACAUUCUAGCAGAGAGUAGCUCCCCAAGCCAGACCCCCAGAGGGCCCUAGGAGGAGGAACUGGUUUUCUUCUCUCGGCCUGGGGACAGCUGGGUCCUUUCCCCACCCCAUACAAUGACCAGCUGAAAGAUGCCUGGUACAGGCACGGAGUAAUCAAUCUGCAGUAAAACAUGCCUACUCAAAACGGAGACUCCUUCUCCCUGUCUCAUCCUUCCUCUUAACACCUAGAACAUCUGUUUCUUGCUCCCCCUUGCAGCUGAGGCAAGGACGGUGUGUGUCCCCAAGUUAACACAGUGUGGUUCCUCCUCUAAUUAAAGCGGGGAGUUGUUUGUCCAUGGGGGAAUUUAAUGCUCUCCUACUAGGGGUGCCACAGCUUGUUCCUUCUGCUUUAAACUACCAUAGAGUCAAUGAGACAUGUGGGCUCUAUUAUUGUCGUUCUGCCAAAAUGGCUCAAAGGACGGCAAUGACGAUGGUCGACGGUUACUCAGCAUUUAUUCCACCUUUCCAAGUAUGACUUCCUGGAUUACGGGGUCUGAUCAACUAAACUCUGUUUCUCAGACUGCCCUGAAGCAGGGAUUCUGGAUGAGGAUUUGGUUCUGCCAAUCUGAUGCACCUGAUGCAAGAAGGCAAAGGCCCUCUUCCGGCAGCUUUGGCUGUUAAGCAUCUACCUGAGAAAUCCACCCAAGAACCAGGCAUUCCAGCUCGUCCGACCUCAUGGUCUUGCCCAGAGUAAUCCUGGAACGUGCAGUGAGCGUGGCUAUGUAGACACCAUGGGUUCUGCAGCAGCCCUCCAGCGUUUUGUCACCAGUCUAGUAGGUAUCAAGAGGCAGCAGCUGUGCUGGUGGUGACAGAUUCUUGAUCCCUGCAUCCAGCUAUAGCCAUGGCCAUGUGGGUGUUUUAAUUCAUCAGCUUCAGAUUCAACCACCUGGAUGUCAUCUCCCCUGCUGGGGCAGUUCUGGGGUGCUGUUCUGGGAACUAUUACAGAGACAUCAUCUAGACCUCCUGCUUCAGCCCUUUCAACAAUUUUUUGAGCACCUAACUUCCAACAGAGGAUGGCGGAGGAUGAGAUGGUUGGAUAGCAUCAUCGACUCAACGGACAUGAGUUUGACUCCAUCUCAGAAUAAAAGGAAUGAAAACCUGGGGAAAGCAGCCAAGGAGGAAAGCCACAAAUACGCAUCUGGCUGCAGCAGACGGAGCAGCUCUGAGUGUGCAGCGAUGCACCAUGACAGCGCACUGCAGACGUGGAAGCUGCUCCCCCAGGACCGUCCCUGAGACGUGAGAGCCGCCCUGGGCGCAGUCCUCCUGCUGCCCACCCAGGCCCUGCCAAGUUUCGGCAGACCGUGCGGAACAGCAAGAGCCAUGGGAGUCAGUCAGCCAUGAGCUGGUAUUCUGACUCCACAGCCCACUGGCUGGGGCCUUGAGCAAGUUGACUUAGCUUCUCUGAGCCUCAGUUUCUUUACUGUUUACAAGGGUAACAGUAGGACUGCUGUUGUGCAGUCGCUCAGUCGUGUCUGACUCUUUUCGACCCCAAGGACUGCAGCACGCCAGGCUCCUCUGUCCUGUACUAUCUCCUGGAGUUUGCUCAAACCCAUAUCCAUUGAGUUGGUGAUGCCAUCCAACCAUCUCAUCCUCUGCCGCCCCCUGCUCCUUUUGCUUUCAACCUUUCCCAGCAUCAGUCUUUUCCGGUGGGUAGGCUCUUUGCAUC
ensembl:lncRNA